rnacentral:rRNA from 1 species
CUUGAAAAGAGGGUUAAAUAGUACGUGAAAUUGUUGAAAGGGAAGCGCUUGUGACCAGACUUGGGCGCGGCGGAUCAUCCGGGGUUCUCCCCGGUGCACUUCGCCGCGUCCAGGCCAGCAUCAGUUCGUCGCGGGGGAAAAAGGCUUCGGGAACGUGGCUCCCUCGGGAGUGUUAUAGCCCGUUGCGUAAUACCCUGCGGUGGACUGAGGACCGCGCAUCUGCAAGGAUGCUGGCGUAAUGGUCACCAGCGACCCGUCUUGAAACACGGACCAAGGAACG